CCGAGUAGCUAGGAUUACAGGCAUGUGCCACCAUGUCUGGCUAAUUUUGUAUUUUUAGUAGAGACGGGGUUUUACCCUGUUGGCCAGGUUGGUCUCAAACUCCAGACCUCAGUUGAUCCACCCGCCUCAACCUCCCAAAGUGUUAGGAUUACAGGCAUGACUCACCACUCCUGGCCCCAUUUACAAGUUUUAAUAAGAGUAAAGAAGGACAUGAUUACAUUUGUACUUUACCAAAGUGUUAGAAUGGUUUAUAUUGAUGACUAAGAGUGAAAAAGGAAUUCUACUUAGUAGGUUAUUGCAGUCAUUAGCUAAUAUUAGUAAUAACCAAUGCUUAUUUCAUAUAUACUAUGAGCUUGGCCCUAUUCUAAAUGUUUUACUUGCAUUAUCUCAUUUAAUCUUGUGGAAAACUCAGUGAAGUAAAUAACAUUAUUUUAUACAUUUUACAAAGGAAGAAGCUCAAUCAUAGACAGUUUAAGCAACCUGCUCAAGCUCAAGAUCACACAGCUAGUAAGUAGGACUGUAUACAGUGAAAGAAGAAGAAAAAGAAUGAAAUCCUGAUGUACAUGAAAAUUGAAGAGAGAUCAGAAGUUCCCAUGAAAGAAACAGAUAAGAGUUAAUCCAGGAGAGUGUGAUUUCACAGAAGCCAGAGGGAUUGAGUGUUUCAAGAAAGAAGAUGUAGCUGACAGUGUCAAAUACUGCAGAGAUGUCAACUAAAGUAGUCUGAAUAUAUCCAGGGACUUUAAAAGAAAUAAGCCCUAGCUCGUGGAAAAGUAGCUCUGAAGAAAGCAAGUAGCCCUGUAGAGAAGUCCGUGUGGCACGGAAAUGAUGCUUCAGACCAACAACCUUAAGAGAAGACCUUAAGCCUGACAACAGCUAUAUGUGAGUGACCCUACAAGUGGACAUUCUGCAAAUCAAGUUUUGAGAUGACUACAACCCCAGCCAAUCCCUUGAUUGCAGCUUUGUGAGAGACCCUGGGAGACAGGACCUCAGCCUCACAAUCAUGGCGGAAGGCAAGGAGAAGCAAGUUACAUCUUAUGUGGAUGGCAGCAGGCAAAAGAAGAGAACUUGUGCGGGGAAACUCCCCCUUAUAAAACCAUCAGAUCUCAUAAGACUUAUUCACCAUCACAAGAACAGUGUGGGAAAGAUCCACCCCCAUGAUUCAAUAACCUUCCACACAGUCCCUCCCACAGCAGACGGGAAUUCAAGAUGAGAUUUGGGUGGAGACACAGCCAAACCAUAUCAAUUUGAUUGAGAAUGGAAUAUACUUCAAAAUAAUUGUGAUAUGAAGAAUGAAGCUAUUAUAAUUACCACAAGAUGAAGCCUUGUUUUAGAUCACAGUGAUUGAGAAGAAUGAUUUGGGGAAAAGAUGGGAUAAGUCUUGGAAAUCCCUCAAAUUUAUCUUCAUCAUUUAAAUCUCCCUUGGAUGUUUUUUCCCAUCUGAGUUCCACAUCUUCCCCCACUUUUGGAUAUUGAGAUGCUGUCUAUUUUCCAGUCUCCUCCACCUAAAGCAGCACAAGCCCUGUAAGAAUGUGAGAGCGCUCAAGGAUGUUGGCUACUGGGAAUAAACAUUUGUGACUACAACCCACAAAACAAUCUGCACAUGGCUAAUCAAGAGAAGACUGCAUUUUCCUAUUUUUGUUUAUAUCAUACCAGUAGAACAUUGUACAUUAAAUCUAUAAUGAUGAUAAACUGCCCAUUGGGAUUUUCUUCAUUCUUGUAAUCACCCUUAGGACUCAAAAAAAUCCCGUGAGUUUGCACUUUUCAAAUUCUGUUGUGGGAAAUGCUGCAAUUAGGUGCUAUUGAACCAAUCUUUGAAAAUUAAAAAUGCUGUAGAAAAAUACAUCAGUUUACAUUCUACUUUUUCACUCCCUUUCCCAGUGUGUAAUAGAUUAAAAACAAUGGGUUAUCUCUGUGAAGAACUUGGAAUGUAGCAUUAAAAUCAUUUAAAUGUGCUAUAUCCUAGCACAUUUCUCUGGCAAAGGCCAGGAAGAAGCAUUACAAUCAAAACAACAAAUUUUAUACAUAAUUUAAAGAUAUAAAUGAGAAAAGUAACUUAAGGAAAUAAGAUUUUUUUUUUUUUUAGAUUUUGAAAGGAAGUAGCAUUUUACCUAAAAACCAUUUUGCUAUUAAAGGCUAAUAUACGUAGCAAAGUUAUGCAAUCAUUUAUGCUUGAUUUUUCAUCUACCCUGGUUGACACCCAUAUUCUUUACUGGAACCAUUAUUCUUUAUCCUUCCUUUACAGCAAUGUUAACAGCUCUAAGGCACUUUCUAACCUCCCAUUCAAACCACUACCACUUGAAUCUACCAAACAUGGAAGUUGCUCUCCCAGAAUUUUUAGAUGCUACAUAGUUAAAAAGUACAGACCUAAUUCAAUUUUUGAUGUAUAUGAUACUAUUAUUUGAUACUAAUUUCUGAUACUAAUAUUUACCAAUACCUUCUCUUUGAAAUUUUCCUUCUUUGCGUUGUGUAUCAACAUUCUUCUCUGGUUUCUUCCUACCUCCCUGACCACUCCUUUACAAAAUCUUCUGAGGGUUUCCCCUCUGUUUUUGUUAAUACUGUAAGUGUUAGCGUUCAACAAGAUCAAUUUCUCUACUGUCUUCUAUAAGUCACUAAUUGUGAUCACAUCUCCUCUUAAGUACUAUUUUAAAAAUUAUACUAGAUCUUUUAAUCAUACUGCACACUGUAUAGUUCCAGUCGAGCCUCUAUAUCAAUAAAACUAGAUGCAAAUCUAUCAUAUUGACAAACAAUCUGUUCUUUAUCCUGUAUUCUUUAUUUUGUCUAAUGUCACAGCUAUUCAUAUAGUUUUCCUAGUCCAGAAUCUGGGAGAUGUCUUUAGCUACUCUUUCACUUGCAACACCCAACACACCUGAAGGAAAAUGAAUCAAUAUUAAUACUAUAAUUUUAACAAAUACGUGCAAAAUAUUUCAAUUUCCUCUCCUUUUUCUACCUGUUUUCUUCCAUUACAAAUGUUUUAUUUUAUCUUACAUUUAUUUAUUUGUUGUUUUAUUUCAUUUUUUUAUUUCCAUAGGUUUUUGGGGAACAGGUGGUGUUUAGUUACAUGAAUAAGUUCUUAGUGGUGAUUUGUGAGAUUUUGGGGCACCCAUCACCGAAACAGUAUACGCUGUACAAAAUUUGUAGUCUUCUAUCCCUCAUUCCUCUCCCAUCCUUUCCCCCAAGUCCCCAAAAUCCAUUGGAUCAUUCUUAUGCCUUUGCAUCCUCAUAGCUUAGCUCUCACUUAUAAGUGAGAACAUAAGAUGUUUGGUUUUCCAUUCCUGAGUUAUUUCACUUACAAUAAUAGUCCCCAGUUCCAUCAAGGUUGUUGCAAAUGCCAUUAACUCAUUCCUUGUUAUGGCUGAAUACUAUUCAUAUAUAUAUAUACCAAAAUUUCUUAAUCCGCUUACUGAUUGAUGGGCAUUUGGGCUGGCUCCAUAUUUUGCAAUUGCGAAUUGUGCUACUAUAAACAUGCAUGUGCAAGUAUCUUUUUCAUAUAAUGACUUCUUUUCCUCUGGGUAGAUCCCCAGUAGUGGAAUUGCUAGAUCAAAUGGUAGUUCUACUUUUAGUUCUUUAAGGAAUCUCCACACUGAAUGGAAAAAAGUUGAAAGCAUUUCCUCUGAGAACUGGAACAAGACAAGGAUGCCCACUCUCACAACUUCUAUUCAACAUAGUACUGGAAGUCCUAGCCAGAGCAAUCAGACAAGAGAAAGAAAUAAAGGGCAUCCAAAUUGGUAAAGAGGAAGUCAAAUAGGCGCCGUUUGCUGAUGAUAUGAUCAUACACAUAGAAAACCCUAAAGACUCCUCCAAAAAACUACUAGAACUGAUAAAUGAAUUCAGCAAAGUUUCGGGAUACAAAAUUAAUGUACACAUCAGUAGCUCUGCUAUACAGCAACAGAGACCAAACUGAAAAUCAAAUCAACAACUCAACCCAUUUUAUAAUAGCUGUGAAAAAAUAAAAUACUUAGGAAUAUACCUAACCAAGGAGGUGAAAUACUUCUACAAGGAAAACUACAAAACAAUACUGAAAGAAAUCAUAGAUGACACAAACAAAUGGAAACAUAUCCCAUGCUCAUGGAUGGGUAGAAUCAAUAUUGUGAAAAUGACCAUACAGCCAAAACCAAUCUACAAAUUCAAUGCAAUUCACAUCAAAAUACCACUUUCAUUCUUCACAGAACUAGAAAAGAUAAUCCUAAAAUUCACAUGGAACCAAAAAAGAGCCUGCACAGCCAAAGCAAAACUAAGCAAAAAGAACAAAUCUGGAGGCAUCACAUUGCCUGACUUCAAACUAUACUAUACAAUCAAAUAUGUUUUCAGUCAUUGGCAGAUGUUUCAUGGAGGUAGGGGGGAAAUUGCCCCUGGUUGAGAACCACUGCUCUAGAUAUUCAGGGCUCCCAGUUCUCACCUUCAAAAAUUAAGAUACUCUAUUGUGUCUUUACUACUAUGUACACUUUCCAAAAGCAUAGAGAAGGAAAAAGCUUUGAAAUUUAUUUUACAAAACCAGACUGACAAGGGUAACUAUAAUCUAAAAAUGAUUAUCGCAAGAAUCUUAAAAAUAAUAACAAUGGGAUUUAACAAUGUAUUAAACAAAAAUACAACAUGACCAUGUGGGAUUAAUCUCAUAAUUGCAAAACUCCCCAAACAAAUAUCAAAAAAUCAAAUUGACAAUUCACUGUAUUUGUUGGUCAAAAAUGAAAAGGUGCAGGUAUAGAAUAGUCAUUCAUUUAUUUAUAUUCCUGCAGGAACAGACAACCUUGUCUUAGAUUAACAUUUGCUUCAUUCCCAACCAAGAACAACUGUGAAUUUAUUCUGAAAUUUAACAGAAAACAUUACAGAACUGAAUUUAAGAACUUUAUGAAUGUUUAGCUGCUUAUUAAACCUGGUAGCAGAAAUAAAAUUAUGAAAUGAAAAAGAGAUCUGGAAAAAACACCUAUAGAUAAGCAAAAACAACAAAAUUAUAGAAAACAUGGAAAAUGAUUGCAGAAAUAUGUAAGUUUAGGGGAAAAGAUUUUAAAAUGUGUAAUAGGGGCUCCAAAAGGACAGGAAAGAGAAAAAUGAGGAAGAAUCAAUAUUUGACAAAAUACUGGGGAAUGGACAAAAACUAGGGUUGCAAAGAAAUAGAGAAAAGGCUUAGAAUAAAGGAUAUGAGGCUGAACCUUACAAAAAUGUCCAAUAACCCACUGAAGAGGCAUUUCUAAGGAAACAAAGGAAAAACCAACAUUAGUGUUUGGACCAGUCUACACACUAGUUCCUGAGUCCAGAGGGUAGCCAGUUGAAAGGAUUUCUAGAUUCUGGGCUCAAAAUAUCUUCAAUCUGAGUAGGGGCAGGUAGUGUCAAUCUGACAGGUUUUAAGACGUUAUUUCUCUGGAGUUUAUUUAUCAGGUUGACAAGCUUUAGCUUGCAUGGCAUCAUGAUAAUGUCAGUUUUAGCUUCGGUGAUUAGAAAUUAACAAAAUGGGAGAAAAAUUGAAAAUGUUAGUUUGGAGAGUUGCUGCCAGGUAUUGGAGGAAACUGAAAAAAUUAAGAAUCCAGUCCAGAUUGAAGGUAAAUAAUAAAAUCUCAAAAGCAGGGUACUAGAAUCUCAUAACAAGCACACUGUACUUUUUCUUUCUGAAACAUAAUUUUCUUUCUACAUAAUCCCCCAUUUUUACCAAAAAUUAUCACGGAGAAACUAACUUAUUUGUAAAAAUAGUUCUACUCUCUUUAAAUUUGGCCUGAUUAUUUACAUAAGUGCAGCAAGAAUAGUGAUUGGUCACAUAAGGUUUUAAGUCUGCUUGACUGAAACUUUCAAGAAGGAAUCUCAGCUAUGACUCUUAAAAGCCUCUCCAGGCUAGGAAGGCAAGGCAAUGAUUCACCAUCAAAUUUCAGCUGUAGUGAAUUCCUUCAUCUGAGUGAAUACUUCCCAUCUUGUAGUCCCCCUAAUAUGAGGUUCUUGAGACUCUCUGGAAGUGACAAUCUUUUACUUACUACAAGGCUAGGAAACUUGUAAGAGAGCCAUGUAUUGAAGGUACCAGGCCAAUUUUUAAAGGGUGCUUUAUUGGCUAUAUAAAGUCAACCUCAGUUUUUUAAAACUGUUUGAUCACAAUAAAGAUUUUAAACACUUGAUCAAAACAGGUUCAGAAGUCACUGUAAAACAGUAAUCAUUUAUUUAACCAAAGUGAUAAUUAAAAGAUUUGAAAAG
rnacentral:lncRNA from 10 species